GCGAAAUAUUGAGAGCUUGCUUUUGAUUAUUUUAGCGGCGGACGGGUGAGUAACGUGUGGGUAACCUGCCUUUUACUGUGGAAUAAUCGUUGGAAACGACGACUAAUACCGCAUACGGUUCUUGGAAGGCAUCUUCUAAGAAAGAAAGGAGUAAUUCGGUAAAAGAUGGGCCCGCAUCUGAUUAGCUAGUUGGUGAGAUAACAGCCCACCAAGGCAACGUUCAGUAGCCGACCUGAGAGGGUGACCGGCCACAUUGGGACUGAGACACGGCCCAAACUCCUACGGGAGGCAGCAGUGGGGAAUAUUGCACAAUGGGGGAAACCCUGAUGCAGCAACGCCGCGUGAAGGAAGACGGUUUUCGGAUUGUAAACUUCUAUCAAUAGGGAAGAAAGAAAUGACGGUACCUAAAUAAGAAGCCCCGGCUAACUACGUGCCAGCAGCCGCGGUAAUACGUAGGGGGCAAGCGUUAUCCGGAAUUACUGGGUGUAAAGGGAGAGUAGGCGGCAAGGUAAGCGAUAUGUGAAAGCCUUAGGCUUAACCAAAGGAUUGCAUAACGAACUAUCUAGCUAGAGUACAGGAGAGGAAAGCGGAAUUCCUAGUGUAGCGGUGAAAUGCGUAGAUAUUAGGAAGAACACCAGUGGCGAAGGCGGCUUUCUGGACUGAAACUGACGCUGAGGCUCGAAAGCGUGGGGAGCGAACAGGAUUAGAUACCCUGGUAGUCCACGCUGUAAACGAUGAGUGCUAGGUGUCGGGGAGGAAUUCCCGGUGCCGGAGCAAACGCAAUAAGCACUCCACCUGGGGAGUACGACCGCAAGGUUGAAACUCAAAGGAAUUGACGGGGGCCCGCACAAGCGGUGGAGCAUGUGGUUUAAUUC
rnacentral:rRNA from 1 species